AAAAAAAAAAAAAAAUACUUAGCUGAGAACUUGAACUUGGAAUCAACCUUUGACUUUGGUCACUGGCAAAUGUAAGUAACCUAAGGAAGUUAUGGAAUUGAGCUGAUAUUUCUCCUCUUCAGCAAAUGUCAUUGCAGUCAUAGUUGACACAUUCCAGGUGAAGUGCUUUGGUAGUCCACCAAUCACUAAGUUUGGUAGGAUCGUAAAAGGACCUCCUUAAUUACAGUUGGGAACAGCCUUCCAGAAAGCUCCAGGCUCUGUUCUAUGAAGAUGAUCUGUAUGCACACAUGGUUGAGUCCCCACAGAAUUUGCUACUGAAGGCUUCAAAGACCCUCAUGGAAACCUGCUUGGAUAAAUAGGAGAAUGUAUGCAACCCAAAGUGCUAGAAGACCUGAGACAAAGCACCUGGGCUUAAACAAGUGAAAUGUUUCUGAUGUACAGUAGGGCAGAAGUCACUGUCUCUGUGGUGGACCUUAAACUCCCUAAGAAUAUUGAGUAGAGUCAGGAGUACACAGAGAAAAAGAGCUGUGAGGAUUUAGUCUAAAGUUCCUUUGCCCAGGAAUUUUCUGCUGGGAAGCUGAGAAACCUCAGAGAAAAAGGAAAACAAUUUUAUCUCAUUUGCUUCUCCUGUGUUUUGCCCCUUUGGAAUGUGGUUGGAGAUUGUUUACCAACAGUUUUUCAUCUCCUUCUGAAGUGCUUGGACAGUUUUUCCCACCUUGUGGUCAGAAAGAUGAAACAGCAAGAGUCUGCCAGGUCUAAGUCUAAACAAAUCCUUACAUGUGAUCAAAGUACUAGUGAUGCCAAAGAGAAAUAUGGUUGUGCUGAUAGGCAGUUGGAGAUGCACAUCGGUCUUCCAACUUCCUCUUCUAUCUCCAUGUUGUCACUUUGCACUAGGGUCCAGGUUGGGUGGCGGAGAGGUGCUGCACAAAGAAGGAGCAACAUUGUUGGAAUCCUGGAUGCUGAGAAUUUUAAACUUUCUGUGCUGAAAGGCACAGACCCACCUGAGAACACUGCAUUUGACCUGAGGCCAUGGAGAAGGCUUCCAAAAUUUAUUGAUAGCACUGGGAUUACAGAAGCCAUUGGACAGCAGUUCUUUAAGACUGGAGUCUUGCUGCUCCUGCUCUUAACAGAGAUGUUAGAGGGAAUUAAAAGAAAUUUUGUGUACAAGGCAGUGGAUGGAUCACGUCACAUUCAAAUAUUCACGAAUGAACAAUGCUCGACUAAUUCCAGAAGAACAAAAAUAAAAGGACUUCUAAGGUGUCUGCAAGUGGCUGUGUUGCUGUUAAAUUUAAUGGGUUCCAGCUGUGCAAUGGCAUUAUCGCUAAGAAAGAAAAAAAUCACUAGAAGAAAAAUCCAGGAAAACACGAUCACCACUACUACAUUCAGAGUACAUGUUCUAAAAAUUGGAAGUGACAUACUAAAAGAUCCUGUGGAGGGCUCUGCCUCCAGAAGCAGUUGCAACAAUGGACAGAAAGUGAAAUUGCAAAAUGGAAUUGGGCCAUUUGGCAGAUCAGUAGUUUCUCAAAUAGUUCAAGCAGAAGAGCCUUACAGGCUGUGAGAAGGAAGAAGAAGCAUCCAUCUCAACACCUCAUGUGUCUCAACAAGAAGAGACUCUAUUUUGCUCUCUUCUUCUUGUGCCUCCGUGCUGCCUGUGGCAAUUGUGCUUUUUCUGUCUCCUCCCCACUUUGCAAGAGGAAAAAGACUGUCACAGCCAGAAAUAAGAUGACAUGGUGGUUUGUCUCAGGUGGAAAUUAGGUGAUAUCAUGGUUCUUACUACUUAUAUGGGUUAAAGGAAAACCAAGUGCAAAGGAGGAUCUUGAAUGUUCUGGUGGGGGCUGUUCUGGUGGGGAAUGUUCUGAGGAGGCUUCAGCAACCCUCAGCAAGCUUGGUCCUGUCUUCUCACACUCAACAAGUCAUCUGAAAACUGAGGAAGUGUGAGAAGAUUCAAGAGACUACUGUCAUCCUUUCAAUUUGCCUUAGUCUCAACAGGGUUUUCUUUUGUUGCUUCUUAAGUUCAGCAGAGCAAGCAGAGAAUGGGAAGCACACUGUGCACUUGAAGUCACAAGACAUGUGGGAGAGAGGAGGGGAAAAUUGUAGGAAGCACACUUCAGAGACAUGGGUACAAUGCAUGAGAGAGACAUCCAAACAUUAAAAUUGUGUGUAACUGGUGAGCUACUGCUGCUCUGUUGUCUGUCUCUCCUUGUAGCAGUUAUGUUCCUUUAAUCCACCAUGCCUUUGAAGUACUGACUGUCCUCCAGCUGACCACUCCACUAUGUUGUCUGCAUUGAAGUCCUGACUAGAAGUAGAGCUCAAGUUUUUCAAGAGUACUGUGGAAGUGCAAGGAAGCUGCUAGUCUUAAUUUAAAUGCUAGGAGCAGGACAGCUUGUAAGUGCAUGAGUAGAAUCAGAUUUUCUGCGAGAAUACAUUACAGAGAAUUUUCUCCCCUAGUUGCCUAUGUUCUUUUCCUUAUAAUCUUGUUUCUUUUCAAAUGUAAAUUUUACUACUGGACGUUAAAGAUAAUAUCCAGAAUUUACAAUUUUGUUAUUUAAGGAAGACUGCUAAAAUAACCUUUCUAAUGUCAUUGAAAGACAAGGAUUCCUAUUUGCUGUAAUCCCACCGAGUUCUUUUUAUUAAUGUACAUUUUCCUCUUAAUGCUGAGUUCACUUUGGAACCAUAUAAUUUCCAAACAUAAAUGAAAGUAACACUUCACAAACUUGCCAUCAAAAAGUUUUGAGUAAUUCUACACUAAAAAAUAAUAUAUCCAAAUUCAAAGCCCUUGAGAUAUUUGGAAAUAUUAUUGUCACUUCCAGUGUGUUUGGGCCAGGUCCUUUUUAAGUAACUGAAGGUAAAUCUCUUUCUGAGUUUUCAUAUCAUUUCAUGGCAGUAACAAACAAAAUCCUCUCCGUUACCUGUUAGGAGCCUUCUAUUAUAGCAGAAUGGAGAAGUCAGGCAGGAUAUGGCGACACAAAUUACUAGUCUUUGAGUUCAGCAAUCAUUUAUUUAUUAUGCGCUAAGUAUUUACAGAAUCUGUAUCUGAUUUAUAUAAACCUAGGAAUGUACACUUUUUUUAAUGAGAUUUUUCUGGUCAUAAAUUCCAUAUUCCUCUGAGUGUGUUUUCAUUUUUAAUUUACUACAUCCCCCAAAGGCUUUAUUUUAACUAGUUUGCUAGUUGUAAAUUCAGCAAUGAUAUUCUUUAAAUAAACAGAAGCACGGAACAUAAUUUCCUGGUAACACUGUUUAGAAAAUGGAUCAGAAUAAGGCCCCAAAGCAAUUCUGAUGAUGAAUUAAUUAUAAGAUUCCAAGAAAAACAUGGCAUUGACAUUUUACAAGUUUUGGCAUGCAGCCUUGUAUAAUGCUGUGCACUUAAUAAAGUUGUUUUGACGCUUAUAGUAUGAACAAAGACUUAAGUCUCUAGGAAUCAAACAGCAUUUCAGCAUAAUGUAAACUCAAAGGGUAACCUCCUGCAGCUAGUUCUCCAUUUAAAUUGUGGUAAUCUGUAUUAUGCAAACAGAACAAAAGAAUGGCUGUUAAAAUUCUGAGCUUAUAUUGCAGUAUCUUGCCUGGCCUUUUCUCUUGUGUACAAAUUUUCAACAGCUUUUUCUUUAACAGUGAACAUUUUUCAGUCUUUCAUCAUAAGAAUGAUCAAGAGAAAAACAUAGAGCAGUAAAUGUUUUUCCUUUGUACUAUUUCAGUAAUGGUUUGAGUUUUUUCUUCUUUACCAUUAUGCAUUUUUAAGUAAUCUGUCUAUACACACCCAUAUUCUUCUGUGUCUCCAGCUGAGAAAUUUGCCAAUAUUUAAAACUCAAAAUUCCUGUAAAAGUGAGGUAAGACAUACCUGGUUUACAGUUUGGGAACUGAAACAAAUAUGCCAAAAUCUGGUAUAUGCAUAGGAAUGAAAUUUGCAUUCCAAUUAACAGAAAUUAGAUAUCUAAUAAACCUUUCAAUAUUUCACCUAAAGAAAUAAAGCUGCUAACAGGAAGAACAGAAAAUCCAAAUGAGUUGCUGUGUGGUUUUGUAUACUUGCUUUCUCCUUUUCUGAAGGAAGCAAGCUCUAGCACUCAGAUAUUUUUGCCACUUCUGUUACUGAAGGAAAUGUUUCUCAAUCAUUCUCACGUUGAAGGAGCUGCAUAAGUUCAUAAACAUUACCUUUUGCUUAACUUAAUUAGCUGUUCUGAGAGCAGGAACAGGAUCUAGUAGGAAGGUUGCUGUGACAUGCUGCAGUCAGUUAUGUUGGUUUGUUUAAUCCUAGCUUGAUUUUGUCUGCUGGGUUUGGUGCUCCACAGCCUAAAAAUCUUGACUGUACAUGGACUGGCAGAGAUAUCCUGGCCUUGCUGAAGUCUUUGUGAUGUGAAUUGGUUGGGUGUGACUAUGUAACAUUUGUCUGAUCCUUACUCAUAUUCAGCAUCAUAAGAAAGGAGGUUUAUAGUUGCUCAGUAUUCUGGUCUUUCUGCAUUUAGUCCUGACCAAGGAAGUGCCAUAGACUGUGAAUAACAAAAAUUAAUUUUCUAAAUUGUUUAGUAAUUUCAUAAAAUGCAAAUGACAUUAUGACAAGGGUUUAAAUUAGUUUG